rnacentral:rRNA from 1 species
UGCGUAGGCGGAUUAAUAAGUCAGUAGUGAAAUCUCUCGGCUCAACCGGGAAACCGCCAUUGAUACUGUUAAUCUUGAGUUCGGUUGAGGUAGGCGGAAUGUGUAAUGUAGCGGUGAAAUGCUUAGAUAUUACACAGAACACCAAUUGCGUAGGCAGCUUACUAGACCGACACUGACGCUGAGGCACGAAAGCGUGGGUAGCGAACAGGAUUAGAUACCCUGGUAGUCC